rnacentral:lncRNA from 1 species
AUGUGCUGUGAGAACUGCAAACAGGGCAAAUUCUUUACUUUGUCCUGCCUACGGCCCAAAUCACACAGAUUAAAUAUCAGGCUUAAUGAAGCAAAUCAUGGAAAUCUCAUAAAUAUGAGAACUGAUUCAACUGAGCAGAAAACAAGAAAAAUUAAAUGUGGGUUGUUGAACAUUAGAUCCAUUUUUUCUAAGACUUUGUUAGUUAAUGACUUGAUUUGUGAUAAUCAGAUCUCUUUGCUCACUCUCACAGAAUCCUGGCUGCAGCAAGAGGACUAUGUUAGCUUAAACGAGUCUACUCCUUCAAAUUAUUUAUAUCACCAUAUUGCUCGAAGUACAGGGCAAGGAGGAGGAGUGGCAACCAUUUUUCAUUCGGACUUAUUAAUCAAUCCCUUACCAAUUAAUAGCUACAGUUCGUUCGAACAUCUUAUUCUUAAUUUUCCUAAACCAGAUUGCAAAACUGUAAAACCACUCUUGUUUGUAGUUUUAUAUCGUCCACCAGGCCCUUACUCUGAGUUUUUGGAUCAGAUCUCUGAUUUUUUAUCAGAUUUGGUGCUAAAUACUGAUAAGGUCAUUGUAGUGGGGGAUUUUAACAUUCAUGUGGACAUUGAAAAUGAUAGCCUCAAUGUAGCCUUUAGUAAUAUCUUAGACUCAAUUGGUUUUACUCAAAGAAUACAUAGCUCCACCCACUCGUGCCAUCAUACAUUGGACCUUGUGCUGACUUAUGGCAUAGAGUGUGAGGAAAUAACAAUCUUUUCACAUAAUCCAGUCCUCUCGGACCACUUUCUGAUAACCUUUGAGUUUUUUAUAACUGAGUUUUCGAGACAUGAAAGUAAAUUUCACUAUAUUCGGUCUCUAUCUGACAACGCAGUUGCAUCUUUUAAAUCAACUGUUCCAUCUUUCCUGUCCUCAGCAUCUCAGAGGCAUGUAGCAGAGGGCAAUAUUUUCAGUUCUAUCCCCUCACAAAUUGAUGCCUUAGUUCAUAUUGUUACUUCCUCUUUACGUGUGGCAUUAGAUGAUGUUGCCCCUUUAAAAAAGAAGGUAAUUAGGGAUUGGAAGUUGGCUCCCUGGUUUAAUUCUCAUUUACGAGCCUUAAAACAAAACUCUAGAAAAUUGGAGAGAACAUGGCGCUCUACGCACCAUGAGGAGGCCUACCUAUUCUGGAAAAAUAGUCUUGUGCUUUAUAAAAAUAAGCUUCGACAAACUAGAACUGCUUAUUUCUCAGCGUUAAUUGAGGAGAAUAAGAAUAAUCCUAAAUUUCUUUUCAGUACAGUUGACAAACUUACACAGAAUCAUAUCUCUGAGCCAUUUAUUCCCUUAGCCCUCAGCAGCAAUGACUUCAUGGGAUUUUUUACAAGUAAAAUUAAUUCUAUUAGAAACAAAAUCUUUAGCAUCCUCCCUAAUGCGAUUUCUUCUUCCUCAGUAAGUGAGGCAGCAUCAGAGGUAACUGCAGAACCUCAUCUGUGUUUGAACCGUUUUGAUCCAGUUAGCUUUCAGGGUUAUCAAAAAUAUUAG